CGCUGUAUCUUAGAAGAACUCUUAGUGUAAUUGUGAUUUAAAGAAAAAGAAAAAAUGGAAUUACCACAAGAGGUGCCUCUUACUUAAGAGUUGGAAGAGCUGUGUCUUAGAGGACAGGUGUCGCUAUGAAAGAAAAAACAGAAGUCUUUCUUCUCUUCGUCUGUAUAUCUUCCUCGCCAUCUCUCUCCCCAUAGCCUAUAACGGACCUCUCCUUCCUCAGAUCAUAUGCUCCGGCGUUGUUUCUUACAGGUUUGACAUUGGUAUCUUAUGAAGUAAAGAUUUGAUCUUUUUGUUGGAACCGUAUUGAGCGACCCGUUUACAAGGCAGGAGUACGACAAGAAAAGGAUGUGUCGUAUCUAUGAGCACAAUAUGGAGCUUUUUGAUCGGUACAAGGAGCUCAAAUUUACUUGCAAUGGCCUUGGGAUGAAGAAAUUUCUUUGGUGAAUCGCAGAACUUUUAAGUUAGGUGAUAUGUAUAGCCUUUGUACGUUGAGUUAGAGACAUCAGCCUUUGUAGCAGGGUUUGAGUAUUGAUCAUAGUCUGAGAGCAAGAGAAACCAUCAAUUUUUAGGUUCUCUGCUUCCACAAGUUUUCAUUUCUUUGUUUUUAGGUUCUAUGCUUCCAAAAAAAUUUUAUUUCCUUGUUUUCUUGUUCUUUGUUAUAUGGAAAGAUUAGAAACUUGUGUUGAAAUGUCAAUCGUCAAGUUCUAACCUA